UACGGAGGAUGCAAGCGUUAUCCGGAAUGAUUGGGCGUAAAGCGUCCGCAGGUGGCUAUGUAAGUCUGCUGUUAAAGAGUGAGGCUCAACCUCAUAAGAGCAGUGGAAACUACAUGGCUAGAGUGCGUUCGGGGCAGAGGGAAUUCCUGGUGUAGCGGUGAAAUGCGUAGAGAUCAGGAAGAACACCGGUGGCGAAAGCGGCUCUCUGGGACGGGUA
rnacentral:rRNA from 1 species